rnacentral:rRNA from 1 species
ACGGAAGGCAGCAGUCGGGAAUAUUGCGCAAUGGAGGAAACUCUGACGCAGUGACGCCGCGUGCAGGAAGAAGGUUUUCGGAUUGUAAACUGCUUUAGACAGGGAAGAAACAAGACAGUACCUGUAGAAUAAGCUCCGGCUAACUACGUGCCAGCAGCCGCGGUAAUACGUAGGGAGCAAGCGUUAUCCGGAUUUAUUGGGUGUAAAGGGUGCGUAGACGGGAAAACAAGUUAGUUGUGAAAUCCCUCGGCUUAACUGAGGAACUGCAACUAAAACUAUUUUUCUUGAGUGUUGGAGAGGAAAGUGGAAUUCCUAGUGUAGCGGUGAAAUGCGUAGAUAUUAGGAGGAACACCAGUGGCGAAGGCGACUUUCUGGACAAUAACUGACGUUGAGGCACGAAAGUGUGGGGAGCAAACAGGAUUAGAUACCCUGGUA